rnacentral:tRNA from 5 species
GCGGGAGUAGUUCAACGGCAGAACGUCACACUUCCAAUGUGAAGGUUGCGGGUUCGAUUCCCGUCUCCCGCU